GACGAACGCUGGCGGCGUGCUUAACACAUGCAAGUCGAACGGAAAGGCCCUGCUUUUGUGGGGUGCUCGAGUGGCGAACGGGUGAGUAACACGUGAGUAACCUGCCCUUGACUUUGGGAUAACGUCAGGAAACUGGGGCUAAUACCGGAUAGGAGCUCCUGCUGCAUGGUGGGGGUUGGAAAGUUUCGGCGGUUGGGGAUGGACUCGCGGCUUAUCAGCUUGUUGGUGGGGUAGUGGCUUACCAAGGCUUUGACGGGUAGCCGGCCUGAGAGGGUGACCGGCACCAUUGGGACUGAGAUACGGCCCAGAGUCGUACGGGAGGCAGCAGUGGGGAAUAUUGCACAAUGGGCGGAAGCCUGAUGCAGCAACGCCGCGUGCGGGAUGACGGCCUUCGGGUUGUAAACCGCUUUCGCCUGUGACGAAGCGUGAGUGACGGUAAUGGGUAAGGAAGCACCGGCUAACUACGUG
rnacentral:rRNA from 1 species